rnacentral:rRNA from 1 species
GAUGAACGCUGGCGGCGUGCCUAAUACAUGCGAGUCGAGCGAACAGACGAGGAGCUUGCUCCUCUGACGUUAGCGGCGGACGGGUGAGUAACACGUGGAUAACCUACCUAUAAGACUGGGAUAACUUCGGGAAACCGGAGCUAAUACCGGAUAAUAUAUUGAACCGCAUGGUUCAAUAGUGAAAGACGGUUUUGCUGUCACUUAUAGAUGGAUCCGCGCCGCAUUAGCUAGUUGGUAAGGUAACGGCUUACCAAGGCGACGAUGCGUAGCCGACCUGAGAGGGUGAUCGGCCACACUGGAACUGAGACACGGUCCAGACUCCUACGGGAGGCAGCAGUAGGGAAUCUUCCGCAAUGGGCGAAAGCCUGACGGAGCAACGCCGCGUGAGUGAUGAAGGUCUUCGGAUCGUAAAACUCUGUUAUUAGGGAAGAACAAAUGUGUAAGUAACUAUGCACGUCUUGACAGUACCUAAUCAGAAAGCCACGGCUAACUACGUG